UACAAGAAAAACCAUGUUUUGCGAGGUGCAACCUCACCGCAAUUACCCUGUUUUAUCGUAGAGUCAGAUGAACUGCUGCGAGCUCAUUAAACCGCUAAUCGGUUGGGAGUAAUACGUCUGGUCAGACUAAUUUCGGUGAAUACUUGAAGCUGGCCGCAGUUGGUACAGAUAAAGCCGCCGAUGGUUCCCGCAGCAGAAGACAAUGGACACCGAGGGUUUGAAGGGCAAUUUCGGUGGAAAUUCGUCAGCUUUGAAAGCCAAUUUCGGUGAUAGUUACGGCCAUUCUCUGGCACGGCAAUCGUUACGAUUCGGCGAAUUUGGGCACACCGAAAUUGCUUGAGAAUGUUGCCGCCAACUGCUCCCGCAGCAAUGAUUCGAUCCCAUCUUGGAUUGAAGGGCAAUUAUCGCCAGAUAUUGGGACGUCACUGUUUAAUGCUUACUACGAGUUCUUUGGGUCACCGCAAAAGCUACUUCAGCUUUUUGCUGGAAAAUCGGGGAAAUAUAUAAAACAAUGGGGAUGAGAUUGCGGUGAAUUUGAUUUGGCACUCGAUUCGCCAAGUUCACAUAUUUCAGGGGAAGUGGUGAUACCGCAAGAAAUGCCAAUUGCUUGUGGGUAUAUGCGAUGAAUAAAUAGAGGCAUUUCCUACGGAUUCACGACGAAUUUGUUGGGGGCAUAAGUCUAAACUAUUUUUUUUAUGCUUUUUUCUGGAUUCAUGGGUACGUAUGUUAUUGUUGGUUGGAACUGAAUCUCAAAAACCAACCCACAGAUGUAGAUUAUUAGGUGGAGGUGAGAAAUCACAUCUCAUCAACUUUGCAUAAACAUGGAGCAGUUAAAAGAGCUCAAGUUAACAGUUAAGUUAGAGCAUGGAUUCAAGUUAGUAACCUGAUUUCAAGUUACUAAACACAAUAAGGUGCACCACAGACAAAGUACAAUGGGACUUAGCAUGUUGGAGUCAACUUACAUGGAUCUCGACAACCUAAAUGGAAAGUAUUGAAAAAUCCAGCCAGUGAGAAAGUGACUUUUCAGCAAAAUCCAAAACUUUGCCUUUCAAGGUCAGCUGAGUAACAUGUGGAAACUGGGGCUGGAAAGUAGUCUACUUUAUCUGCUUUAAGACCGAAAAAGGCAACCAUCAACUUUCCCCCCACAUUUUGCCGCUUCAAGAAAUUUCACUCCCGCCACAGUUUUUGCUCCAAGUCUUAUUGUACUCUAUAAUUGUACAGUCCAUAGGACCCGGUACUUGAUCCUAGCUAUUUCACAUUUUAUUCUUAUUCUUAUUGUACAAGAAAGCAUACAAUACAAUAAAGAGAUGUCGAUUUCUUGUCUAUUAAUACCAACAUUUAUUCUUAUUGAAAUCUGAAUAUUAUUAUUA